GGGCAGAGGGCACCACAUGUGAAAGGCCCAGGGCUGGGAGGGAUUGUAGGGAGCGGAGGAACCUAUAAAAGACUGGAGAGGGCUGGGCACAGGGGCUCACGCCUGGAAUCCCAGUGCUUUGGGAGGCCGAGGUGGGAGGUUCGCUUGGGCCCAGGAGUUUAAGACCAGUGUGGGCAACAUAGACCCUGUCUUUAUGAAAAAAUAAAAAAAAAUUAGGCAGGCGUGAUGGUGCACACCUUACGGUUACAGCUGCUCAGGAGGCUCGGGUGGAAGGAUCGCAAUACCUCAUCUCAAAAAUAGAUAGACGCCAUCUUGUAGGUAGGUAGGUAGACAGGUGAGAAUGGAGAGAGGGGUGGUUGGGGGCAGCCUGGAGGGAGUUGAGGGGCCGUCUGGGGGUGUCCUCUCCUCACACAUCACAUCCCUCUACAGCCAGGACAACAUGUGGCGCUGUCCCCGCCAAGUGUCCACCGUGGUGUGUGUGCACGAACCCCGCUGCCAGCCGCCUGACUGCCACGGCCACGGGACCUGCGUGGACGGGCACUG
rnacentral:lncRNA from 1 species